rnacentral:rRNA from 1 species
UACAGAGGUCUCAAGCGUUGUUCGGAUUCAUUGGGCGUAAAGGGCGCGUAGGCGGCCUGAUAAGUAGGGGGUGAAAUCCUGCGGCUUAACCGCAGGGCUGCCUUCUAAACUGUCAGGCUAGAGCACAGUAGAGGCAGGUGGAAUUCCCGGUGUAGCGGUGGAAUGCGUAGAGAUCGGGAAGAACAUCAGUGGCGAAGGCGGCCUGCUGGGCUGUUGCUGACGCUGAGGCGCGACAGCGUGGGGGAGCAAACAGG